rnacentral:rRNA from 1 species
AGAGUUUGAUCAUGGCUCAGAACGAACGCUGGCGGCAUGCCUAACACAUGCAAGUCGAACGAAGCCUUCGGGCUUAGUGGCGCACGGGUGCGUAACGCGUGGGAAUCUGCCCUUGGGUUCGGAAUAACAGUUAGAAAUGACUGCUAAUACCGGAUGAUGUCUUCGGACCAAAGAUUUAUCGCCCAAGGAUGAGCCCGCGUAGGAUUAGGUAGUUGGUGGGGUAAUGGCCCACCAAGCCGACGAUCCUUAGCUGGUCUGAGAGGAUGAUCAGCCACACUGGGACUGAGACACGGCCCAGACUCCUACGGGAGGCAACAGUGGGGAAUAUUGGACAAUGGGCGAAAGCCUGAUCCAGCAAUGCCGCGUGAGUGAUGAAGGCCUUAGGGUUGUAAAGCUCUUUUACCAGGGAUGAUAAUGACAGUACCUGGAGAAUAAGCUCCGGCUAACUCCGUG